rnacentral:tRNA from 1 species
GGACGGUUAGCUCAGUUGGUAGAGCGCAUUCUUGACGUGAAUGAGGUCGCGAGUUCGAGCCUUGCACCGUCCA